AAUUUUAAGGACGCUUCUGAACCUUCGAGUAUGAUCAGACCUGAUGAAGAAGUAUUAAUGGGUUCAGUUGGUGCCAGGAAUCCUAAACCCGAGUCCAUAAUUAACACCCCAGACACUGAGUUUCAGGAAGUGCAAGCCGAUGACAAUCAGAGCUGUCAAUUCUGUCCCAAGUUCCACUCUGUUUCCAUGCCAUCACUUUCAAAUUGUGGCCACUUCACCAGACCUUUACGAAGGCCAAGUGCGGUUUCUCGACAAGAGAUGGCGCCAAGCCAAGUCCCUCGACUAAACAAGACGAGCCCUUGUCACUACGAGUCCAGCGUGUAGUAACUUACUCAAGAACUAUAACUAUAGACGAAACGACAAGAGCGCCCUCCCGUGGCAUCUCAGAGAGUUACGUACUGAAAUGACCUAAUGAGUUACAAAGAAGAAAAAUGAAGAACAAUCUAGACGUUGUGCCUUUGAAAAGCCAGUCUUUCUUUCCCUAACGACCAUAAAAUGUAUAUUAUCAAACAUAAAUGUUAUGUUUAUAUAUAUAGAUAGAUAUAUGUAUGUAAAUGGAUAUAAACAAUGGAUCUUAUUUUGUAAUAUCAAUGUUCAACUUCUUGCCUUAAAUAUC